CUCCCAGGCCGCGCCCCGCCCACCGAGGGAGGUGUCCGUGAUGCAGCUCCUGGGGGACGUCGUCGCGGCGGAGAGCUGGCCAGGCUGCUGUGGGCACGUGAUCGCGGAGGCCACCCCGGAAAUCUGGGUUCCAGCCACGCAGCCAGCCUUAGGGGGUGCGUGUCCUGCUCACAGACGCGUUCGCUCCCGAACCACGGCCGGCCCCAAGCCUCGUGGACCUGGUCUCCGCUUGCAUCGCCCUGAUCUGUGGACAGGGCUGCGGGGGGUUCCGGGCUGGCGGCGUCAGAGGCAAAGGGCAGGCCCACUGGCCCCGGGGGUGACGCCCCAGCUACUGUCUCCCCGAGUCACAGCAUCACCCGUGAUGUCCAGGAGCACCCCGAGUCCUCAGGACGGGCUAGGGGACGGUGAGGAUCUGGAAGGUGGUCUGCAGAUUUAUGGUGGAUUUAUAUCCACUCCUUUAUUGUCAACCGAUACUUAGGGAGGGCCUCCUGGGAACCAUGCAGGAUGCAGCUGGACACACAAUGGGCAGAGAGAAUUCACAGCCUAGGAGAGGGAAACAGACUGACAAACAAGGAAGCUACAGUGUCACAGGGGAUGUGAGCGGGGGAGGGGAUGAAAGUGGAAGUAGGGGCUGGAGGAGGCCCCCCGACAGGAAGACGUGAAAGAAGAUCUGAAGGACAUGGGGCACCUAGAUGGGAGGGAAAAGAGGGGUUCCCAGAGGUACGGACAGUGUAAAGGCCCUGGGGUGAGUGCAGGCCUGGGUAUCUUCCAGGAACUGUGAAAGGCCAGGGAACUGGCGCAUGCCAGUUUGUGGCCAGGAGAUGAGCAGGGGAGUGCGCACAGGACGUGGGCUGUGGGUUCCUGGGAGGGCUUUGGCUUCCCCUGUGAGGGCUGGGUGGGCAGCCGUCCAUUCUCUAGCAAUGCAUGUGGACGGCUGAUUGGGAUUCCCAGUUUGGGCCGAGAGCACUGAGGCUGCGAGCUGAGCGACUCUCACAGGCUCGCCUCCCGGCCUCCGAGGGCCUCCUCCGCCGGCGGCGCCCGCCCUCCCCCUCCCAGCUAGGACCUGGGGCUCCCGAGGCACACCCAGGGGAGCAGAGGCCCAGGUCAGGGCCGGCCCCCAGGACUCUCCGCUACAGGGCGGGGAGGGCAGGGGGAGGGGUGUUAUCGGCCUGGUGAGUGGUGUGCGUGUCCCUCCCAGGGCGCCGGGGCUCUCCCUGUGGGUCAGCGGGGCGGGGUCACAGUGGGGGUGGCGGGGGAUUCUCAGCGCCGAGGCCGCCGGUCGGUGCGCAGGCCCGGCUCCCGAGACAAGGGACAAGGUCCCGAGGUCCAGGGUCCCCGCGGCCCUCCGGGAGGCCGGCACGUCUUCGCCGCAGGUGCCCCGGGCUCUCCCGAAGCUGACCCAGUGGGGGCUCUGGAACCCCGUGCGCUGGGCCCGGGG
rnacentral:lncRNA from 12 species